rnacentral:sRNA from 1 species
AUAAAUCUACCAGUCUGUGGUAUUUGGUUACAGCAGCAGAAAAUUGACCAAGACAACCCCUUACCAUAAACCUGCGUAGCAAAUGCAACAUCAAAACCCCACCCCGGCGCUCCCUCGGGAUCCUCGCUCUAGCCCCGCCUCCGUCCAGCCUGGCUCCGCCCCGUUCGGUAGCGCCGCGCCUUGGAGGUCUGUGGCUAACUUGGUCCGGAAGAAGCGAGGCGGACCUUCUGGCGUUUGAAAAACUUCCGGCGGGAACCGGAAGGUGCGGUGGCACUCACGGAAUCUCGGGUCUUCUGACGUGCCGGGCGGGAAGAUGUCAUCAUUGCCAAGAAGAGCAAAAGUACAGGUCCAGGGUGUGGUACUGAAAGAUGAAUUUUCUUCAUUCUCUGAGUUAUCAUCUGCCUCUGAAGAAGAUGACAAGGAAGAUAGUGCCUGGGAGCCCCAAAAGAAAGUUCCCAGAAGCCGUAAACAGCCCCCUCCCAAGGAAUCCAAACCAAAGAGGAUGCCUCGGGUGAAGAAGAAUGCCCCACAGAUCAGUGAUGGCUCAGAAGUCGU